AUUGAACGCUGGCGGCAUGCUUUACACAUGCAAGUCGAACGGUAACAGGUUAAGCUGACGAGUGGCGAACGGGUGAGUAAUGCAUCGGAACGUGCCCGAUCGUGGGGGAUAACGCAGCGAAAGCUGCGCUAAUACCGCAUACGAUCUGAGGAUGAAAGCGGGGGACCGUAAGGCCUCGCGCGAUCGGAGCGGCCGGUGUCAGAUUAGGUAGUUGGUGGGGUAAAGGCUCACCAAGCCGACGAUCUGUAGCCGGUCUGAGAGGACGACCAGCCACACUGGGACUGAGACACGGCCCAGACUCCUACGGGAGGCAGCAGUGGGGAAUUUUGGACAAUGGGCGCAAGCCUGAUCCAGCAAUGCCGCGUGCAGGAAGAAGGCCUUCGGGUUGUAAACUGCUUUUGUACGGAGCGAAAAGGCUCUCUCUAAUACAGGGGGCUCAUGACGGUACCGGAAGAAUAAGCACCGGCUAACUACGUG
rnacentral:rRNA from 1 species